rnacentral:rRNA from 1 species
AGCACUUAAUGAAUGUCUUGGCAAAAAAUAAAAGGACGUUGCGCGGCGAAACGUUGUAUGUAGGCAUUAGCUUGUGAUAUACAAGUAUCCUAGUAGGGAAAACCUUAAUUUUUUUAUAAAUAAUGUGAAUUGAAACAUCUUAGUAACAUUAAUGUAAAUCAAAAGAGAAUCUGUUAGUAAUGGCGAAUGAACACAGAAGUAACUUAUUUUAAUAAGUUUUUAGAAAUUUCUUUAAAAGGUUUAAGUCCUGUACAAAAAUUUAUUAAACUUAUAAGUAGUGUGAAAUUUACUUUGCAUGAAGAUAGGAGAACCACCUUCUAAGUUACAAAAUAUUUUUUGACCGAUAGUGAACGAGUACUGUGAAGGAAAGAUAAAUUAUUUUAAAGGAAAUUAUAAAAUUUGAAAUUAAGUGUUUACAAUUUUUUGAAGUUUUUAACAACAAAAUGCCUUUUGCAUAAUGAGUCAGUAAGUUAAAGGGUAUAGCAAGCUUAUAAUUAUAUAUUAAGGCGAUAAUAAGUUAUAUUCUUUAGACCUGAAGCCAAGUGAUCUAGUUGAGAACAGGUUGAAAAUUUAUUAACAUAAAUUUGAAGACCGCACCCGUACAUGUAGCAAAAUGUAGGGAUGAUUUUUAGUUAGGGGCGAAAGACCAAUCAAACUUGGCGAUAGCCGGUUUUUCACGAAAUGUAUUUUAGUACUGUGUUAUAUUUGAAGGUAAAUUGAAGGUAAAGUACUUACUAAAUAAAGGGGUUUAAUUAACUUACUAAAUUUAGUUUAACUUACAAUUUUAAUUUAAUUAAUAUAACAGACAGUUUUUAGGCGAUAAGGUUUAAAAACAAAAGGAAAACAAUCCAAACCGUAUAUUAAGAUCUUUAAAUUGUAGUUUAUUGAGGAAAGUGUUUAUUAGAUUCAAAUAUAUAGGAUAGGCUUAGAAGCAGUCUUUCACUAGAGAAAGCGUUUUAGCUCAAUAUUUUUUUUAUAAGUACUGAAGAUUGAAGAAGACUUUAAACUAUAUAUCGAUAUAACGGAUUAAAGUAAAGACUUUAAUGGUAGUGAAACGUUCUAUUUAAAUUUAUUAAUGAAAAUUAAUAAAAAAUUUUAGAAGUGCUAAUGCUGACAUGAGUAGCGUUAACUAUGUGAAAAACAUAGUCACUUUAUGUCCAAGGUUUUUAAUGUAAUUUUAUAUACAUUAAGUUAGUCGGUCCUUAAAAGGAGAGUGAAAACUGUACUUGAUAGGUAAUUAAACCCGCUGUAUGCAUUAAUUUUAAUUUUUGUUAAAGAGAAAAAUUAUAAAAUUUUUUGUUAAAGGUAGAAACUUUUUAAUAAUUUUUUCUUCGAGAAAAAAUUAUAGCGAUAAGACCGUACCUAAACCAACACAGGUGGGCUUUUAUUAAAUAAAGUGAAUGAAUGAAUUGUACUGAAGGAACUAGGCAAAUUUACUCUGUAUGUUAGCUAUAAAGAGAGCUGGAAUUAUUCAGUAACAUUAACUAAGAAGUAACGACUGGUUAACAAAACCACAGGACUCUGCGAAUUAAACUAAAAAGUAUAGAGUCUGACGUCUGCCCAGUGCUUAAAAGUGAUAAACUUAAGUAUUUUUGCUUACGUUUUAACCUUAAGUAAACGGCGGUUCUAACUAUAAGAAUCCUUAGGUAGCGAAAUUCCUUGACGGGUAAAUUCCGUCCCGCAUGAAUGACGUCACGAUUGCUUCACUGUCUCCAGUAUAAAUUCAGCGAAAUUACAUAAUCCAUGAAAAUGUGGAUUUCCUGCAGUAAGACGGAAAGACCCUAGAUCCUUUACUCUAUUUUUAUAUUGUAAAGCACUAAAUAAAAUAUAGAAUAAGUGGAAGUAUUUAGUACUAAAAAUUGAAAUACCACUUUUUAUUUAAAGUUUUACUAAUUUAUUAAAUUAAAAACCGUAUAAGAAAGGGAGUUUACUUGGGACGAGUACCUCCUAAAAUGUAACGGAGGUGUACAAAGGUGAGUUGCAAGUACUUAUUAUAAUUACUGAAGCGUGUAAUGGCUUAAACUUGCUUGACAAUAAGAUUGAUAAAUCGAGUUGAAACGAAAGUUUGUCAUAGUGAUCCGGUAAUUACGUGUGGAAGUAAUACCGCUUAACAACUAAAAGGAACUCUAGGGAUAACAGAUUCAUCGUGGUUAAGAGUUCUUAUUGAUGCCACGGUUUGAUACCUCGAUGUCGACUCAUCUUAUCCUGAAAUUGAAGCAGAUUUCAAGGGUCUAGUUGUUCGCUAGUUAAAAAGGUACGUGAGUUGGGUUCAGAACGUCGUGAGACAGUUCGGUCCCUAUCUGCUGCAGGUAAAGAAAAGUAGAGAAACUGUUUUUAGUACGAGAGGACCAAAACAGGUUAACCACUGAUGUAUUGGUUGUUAAACCUUUAACAAAGCCAAGUAGUUACGUUAAUUAAAAUAUAUAUGCUGAAAGAAUCAAAAGCAUUAAAAUAUUUCUUAAACUUUUCAAGAGAUUUCUGAAAGAUAAUCAGAUAGAUCGAUUUAAAGCUAAUUAUUUAGUAAUAAAAUAAACUUAUAAAGACGAAUAAUCCA